rnacentral:rRNA from 1 species
GGUUAAGCGACUAAGCGUACACGGUGGAUGCCCUGGCAGUCAGAGGCGAUGAAGGACGUGCUAAUCUGCGAUAAGCGUCGGUAAGGUGAUAUGAACCGUUAUAACCGGCGAUUUCCGAAUGGGGAAACCCAGUGUGUUUCGACACACUAUCAUUAACUGAAUCCAUAGGUUAAUGAGGCGAACCGGGGGAACUGAAACAUCUAAGUACCCCGAGGAAAAGAAAUCAACCGAGAUUCCCCCAGUAGCGGCGAGCGAACGGGGAGCAGCCCAGAGCCUGAAUCAGUGUGUGUGUUAGUGGAAGCGUCUGGAAAGGCGCGCGAUACAGGGUGACAGCCCCGUACACAAAAAUGCACAUGCUGUGAGCUCGAUGAGUAGGGCGGGACACGUGGUAUCCUGUCUGAAUAUGGGGGGACCAUCCUCCAAGGCUAAAUACUCCUGACUGACCGAUAGUGAACCAGUACCGUGAGGGAAAGGCGAAAAGAACCCCGGCGAGGGGAGUGAAAAAGAACCUGAAACCGUGUACGUACAAGCAGUGGGAGCACGCUUAGGCGUGUGACUGCGUACCUUUUGUAUAAUGGGUCAGCGACUUAUAUUCUGUAGCAAGGUUAACCGAAUAGGGGAGCCGAAGGGAAACCGAGUCUUAACUGGGCGUUAAGUUGCAGGGUAUAGACCCGAAACCCGGUGAUCUAGCCAUGGGCAGGUUGAAGGUUGGGUAACACUAACUGGAGGACCGAACCGACUAAUGUUGAAAAAUUAGCGGAUGACUUGUGGCUGGGGGUGAAAGGCCAAUCAAACCGGGAGAUAGCUGGUUCUCCCCGAAAGCUAUUUAGGUAGCGCCUCGUGAAUUCAUCUCCGGGGGUAGAGCACUGUUUCGGCAAGGGGGUCAUCCCGACUUACCAACCCGAUGCAAACUGCGAAUACCGGAGAAUGUUAUCACGGGAGACACACGGCGGGUGCUAACGUCCGUCGUGAAGAGGGAAACAACCCAGACCGCCAGCUAAGGUCCCAAAGUCAUGGUUAAGUGGGAAACGAUGUGGGAAGGCCCAGACAGCCAGGAUGUUGGCUUAGAAGCAGCCAUCAUUUAAAGAAAGCGUAAUAGCUCACUGGUCGAGUCGGCCUGCGCGGAAGAUGUAACGGGGCUAAACCAUGCACCGAAGCUGCGGCAGCGACACUAUGUGUUGUUGGGUAGGGGAGCGUUCUGUAAGCCUGUGAAGGUGUGCUGUGAGGCAUGCUGGAGGUAUCAGAAGUGCGAAUGCUGACAUAAGUAACGAUAAAGCGGGUGAAAAGCCCGCUCGCCGGAAGACCAAGGGUUCCUGUCCAACGUUAAUCGGGGCAGGGUGAGUCGACCCCUAAGGCGAGGCCGAAAGGCGUAGUCGAUGGGAAACAGGUUAAUAUUCCUGUACUUGGUGUUACUGCGAAGGGGGGACGGAGAAGGCUAUGUUGGCCGGGCGACGGUUGUCCCGGUUUAAGCGUGUAGGCUGGUUUUCCAGGCAAAUCCGGAAAAUCAAGGCUGAGGCGUGAUGACGAGGCACUACGGUGCUGAAGCAACAAAUGCCCUGCUUCCAGGAAAAGCCUCUAAGCAUCAGGUAACAUCAAAUCGUACCCCAAACCGACACAGGUGGUCAGGUAGAGAAUACCAAGGCGCUUGAGAGAACUCGGGUGAAGGAACUAGGCAAAAUGGUGCCGUAACUUCGGGAGAAGGCACGCUGAUAUGUAGGUGAAGUCCCUCGCGGAUGGAGCUGAAAUCAGUCGAAGAUACCAGCUGGCUGCAACUGUUUAUUAAAAACACAGCACUGUGCAAACACGAAAGUGGACGUAUACGGUGUGACGCCUGCCCGGUGCCGGAAGGUUAAUUGAUGGGGUUAGCCGCAAGGCGAAGCUCUUGAUCGAAGCCCCGGUAAACGGCGGCCGUAACUAUAACGGUCCUAAGGUAGCGAAAUUCCUUGUCGGGUAAGUUCCGACCUGCACGAAUGGCGUAAUGAUGGCCAGGCUGUCUCCACCCGAGACUCAGUGAAAUUGAACUCGCUGUGAAGAUGCAGUGUACCCGCGGCAAGACGGAAAGACCCCGUGAACCUUUACUAUAGCUUGACACUGAACAUUGAGCCUUGAUGUGUAGGAUAGGUGGGAGGCUUAGAAGUGUGGACGCCAGUCUGCAUGGAGCCGACCUUGAAAUACCACCCUUUAAUGUUUGAUGUUCUAACGUUGACCCGUAAUCCGGGUUGCGGACAGUGUCUGGUGGGUAGUUUGACUGGGGCGGUCUCCUCCUAAAGAGUAACGGAGGAGCACGAAGGUUGGCUAAUCCUGGUCGGACAUCAGGAGGUUAGUGCAAUGGCAUAAGCCAGCUUGACUGCGAGCGUGACGGCGCGAGCAGGUGCGAAAGCAGGUCAUAGUGAUCCGGUGGUUCUGAAUGGAAGGGCCAUCGCUCAACGGAUAAAAGGUACUCCGGGGAUAACAGGCUGAUACCGCCCAAGAGUUCAUAUCGACGGCGGUGUUUGGCACCUCGAUGUCGGCUCAUCACAUCCUGGGGCUGAAGUAGGUCCCAAGGGUAUGGCUGUUCGCCAUUUAAAGUGGUACGCGAGCUGGGUUUAGAACGUCGUGAGACAGUUCGGUCCCUAUCUGCCGUGGGCGCUGGAGAACUGAGGGGGGCUGCUCCUAGUACGAGAGGACCGGAGUGGACGCAUCACUGGUGUUCGGGUUGUCAUGCCAAUGGCACUGCCCGGUAGCUAAAUGCGGAAGAGAUAAGUGCUGAAAGCAUCUAAGCACGAAACUUGCCCGAGAUGAGGUUUUCCUGAAUCCUUUAAAGUCCCGAAGGAACGUUGAAGACCACGACGGUGAUAGGCCGGGGGUGGAAGGGGAGCGAUGCGGUUGGCUAACCGGGACUUAUGAACCGUGAGGCUUAACCUU